rnacentral:rRNA from 1 species
AUGAACGCUGGCGGCGUGCCUAAUACAUGCAAGUCGAGCGAACAGACGAGGAGCUUGCUCCUCUGACGUUAGCGGCGGACGGGUGAGUAACACGUGGAUAACCUACCUAUAAGACUGGGAUAACUUCGGGAAACCGGAGCUAAUACCGGAUAAUAUAUUGAACCGCAUGGUUCAAUAGUGAAAGACGGUUUUGCUGUCACUUAUAGAUGGAUCCGCGCCGCAUUAGCUAGUUGGUAAGGUAACGGCUUACCAAGGCAACGAUGCGUAGCCGACCUGAGAGGGUGAUCGGCCCCACUGGAACUGAGACACGGUCCAGACUCCUACGGGAGGCAGCAGUAGGGAAUCUUCCGCAAUGGGCGAAAGCCUGACGGAGCAACGCCGCGUGAGUGAUGAAGGUCUUCGGAUCGUAAAACUCUGUUAUUAGGGAAGAACAAAUGUGUAAGUAACUAUGCACGUCUUGACGGUACCUAAUCAGAAAGCCACGGCUAACUACGUG